rnacentral:rRNA from 1 species
GACGAACCGUGCGAACGUUGUUCGGAAUCACUGGGCUUAAAGGGUGCGUAGGCGGGUUGUCCAGUCUGGGGUGAAAUCCCACGGCUCAACCGUGGAAUUGCCUCAGAUACUGACGACAUUGAGGGAGGUAGGGGCGAGCGGAACUGUGGGUGGAGCGGUGAAAUGCGUUGAUAUCCACAGGAACUCCGGUGGCGAAGGCGGCUUGCUGGACAUCUUCUGACGCUGAGGCACGAAAGCUAGGGGAGCAAACGGG